rnacentral:rRNA from 1 species
UACAGAGGGUGCGAGCGUUGUUCGGAAUUAUUGGGCGUAAAGAGCGCGCAGGCGGUCGUUCAAGUCGUGUGUGAAAGCCCCCGGCUCAACUGGGGAGGGUCAUUCGAUACUGAUCGACUUGAAGGCAGGAGAGGGAAGUGGAAUUCCCGGUGUAGUGGUGAAAUGCGUAGAUAUCGGGAGGAACACCAGUGGCGAAGGCGACUUCCUGGCCUGUUCUUGACGCUGAGGCGCGAAAGCUAGGGGAGCAAACGGG